rnacentral:rRNA from 1 species
UCAGGAAAGUNUGGAGUAAAAGGCUAUGGCUCANCCAUAGUGUGCUCUGGAAACUNUCUGACUUGAGUGCAGAAGGGGAGAGUGGAAUUCCAUGUGUAGCGGUGAAAUGCGUAGAUAUAUGGAGGAACACCAGUGGCGAAAGCGGCUCUCUGGUCUGUCACUGACGCUGAGGCUCGAAAGCGUGGGUAGCGAACAGGAUUAGAUACCCUGGUAGUNCACGCCGUAAACGAUGAGUGCUAGGUGUUAGGCCCUUUCCGGGGCUUAGUGCCGGAGCUAACGCAAUAAGCACUCCGCCUGGGGAGUACGACCGCAAGGUUGAAACUCAAAGGAAUUGACGGGGGCCCGCACAAGCGGUGGAGCAUGUGGUUUAAUUCGAAGCAACGCGAAGAACCUUACCAGGUCUUGACAUCCCGAUGCUAUUCUUAGAGAUAGGAAGUUACUUCGGUACAUCGGAGACAGGUGGUGCAUGGUUGUCGUCAGCUCGUGUCGUGAGAUGUUGGGUUAAGUCCCGCAACGAGCGCAACCCUUAUUGUUAGUUGCCAUCAUUAAGUUGGGCACUCUAGCGAGACUGCCGGUAAUAAACCGGAGGAAGGUGGGGAUGACGUCAAAUCAUCAUGCCCCUUAUGACCUGGGCUACACACGUGCUACAAUGGUCGGUACAACGAGUUGCGAGCCGGUGACGGCAAGCUAAUCUCUGAAAGCCGAUCUCAGUUCGGAUUGGAGGCUGCAACUCGCCUCCAUGAAGUCGGAAUCGCUAGUAAUCGCGGAUCAGCACGCCGCGGUGAAUACGUUCCCGGGCCUUGUACACACCGCCCGUCACACCACGAGAGUUUGUAACACCCGAAGUCGGUGAGGUAACCUUUUAGGGGCCAGCCGCC